GAUGAACGCUGGCGGCGUGCCUAAUACAUGCAAGUCGAGCGAACGGACGAGAAGCUUGCUUCUCUGAUGUUAGCGGCGGACGGGUGAGUAACACGUGGAUAACCUACCUAUAAGACUGGGAUAACUUCGGGAAACCGUAGCUAAUACCGGAUAAUAUUUUGAACCGCAUGGUUCAAAAGUGAAAGACGGUUUUGCUGUCACUUAUAGAUGGAUCCGCGCUGCAUUAGCUAGUUGGUAAGGUAACGGCUUACCAAGGCAACGAUGCAUAGCCGACCUGAGAGGGUGAUCGGCCACACUGGAACUGAGACACGGUCCAGACUCCUACGGGAGGCAGCAGUAGGGAAUCUUCCGAAAUGGGCGAAAGCCUGACGGAGCAACGCCGCGUGAGUGAUGAAGGUCUUCGGAUCGUAAAACUCUGUUAUUAGGGAAGAACAAAUGUGUAAGUAACUGUGCACAUCUUGACGGUACCUAAUCAGAAAGCCACGGCUAACUACGUG
rnacentral:rRNA from 1 species